UGAGGAACAUGACUUUCGGCGGGGGAUAGCCGGCCCAACGGCCGGGUAAUACCGCGUACGACCACAUGGGGACAUCCCUGAGUGGUGAAAGCAGCAAUGCGCCGAUGGAGUGCCUCGCGGCCUAUCAGCUAGCUGGUGAGGUAACGGCUCACCAAGGCAACGACGGGUAGCUGGUCUGAGAGGAUGGCCAGCCACAUUGGGACUGAGACACGGCCCAGAUCCCGUAACGGGG
rnacentral:rRNA from 1 species